UACGGAGGAGGCAAGCGUUAUCCGGAUUUAUUGGGCGUAAAGCGCUCGCAGGUGGUUCGUUGCGUCGUGCGUGAAAGACCCCGGCUCAACUGGGGGGUGUCGUGCGAUACGGGCGAACUGGAGGCCAGUAGGGGGAUGCGGAAUUCCGGGUGUAGUGGUGGAAUGCGUAGAGAUCCGGAGGAACACCAGCGGCGAAGGCGGCAUCCUGGACUGGUCCUGACACUCAGGAGCGAAAGCGUGGGGAGCGAUCCGG
rnacentral:rRNA from 1 species